UACGUAGGGUCCAAGCGUUAAUCGGAAUUACUGGGCGUAAAGCGUGCGCAGGCGGCUUCGCAAGUCAGACGUGAAAUCCCCGGGCUUAACCUGGGAAUGGCGUUUGAAACUACGGAGCUGGAGUGUGGCAGAGGGAGGUAGAAUUCCACGUGUAGCGGUGAAAUGCGUAGAUAUCUGGAGGAAUACCGGUGGCGAAGGCGGCAUCCUGGACCGGCAUUGACGCUGAUGAGCGAAAGCUAGGGGAGCAAACGGG
rnacentral:rRNA from 1 species